rnacentral:misc_RNA from 1 species
AUGGACAAAGCAUCACUGCUAUCUGAUGCAGUGUGCUAUAUAAAUGAACUGAAGGCCAAAAUAGAUGAACUGGAGUCACUCCUACAAAGAGAGUCCAAAAGGGUGAAACUGGAAGUGGCUGAUAAUACAGAUAAUCAAAGCACAACCACUUCUGUAGAUCAAGCCAGACCUAAUAAUUCUGGUGGAGCUGGGUUUGCACUUGAAAUUGAUGUUAUGAUUAUAGGUAAUGAAGCCAUGAUUAGGGUUCAAUCUGAGAAUGUGAAUCAUCCAGGUGCUAGGUUAUUGGCUGCACUACGCGACCUAGAAUUUCAAGUGCACCAUGCUAGCAUAUCCACUGUUAACGAGCUCACGCUUCAAGAUGUGGUAGUUAGACUUCCUAAUAAUGGAUUCAGAACUAAUGAGGGCUUGAAAUCUGCACUCCUGGGAAGACUAGAACAAUAAGAUUUACUGUUGUUGAUUGCUAUUAGUUAAUAUGUAAUGGACCUUAUGUUUAAGUUUAAUUCUUGAUUUUCCAUUACUAUAUGUAAGAAA